GACGAACGCUGGCGGCGUGCCUAAUACAUGCAAGUAGAACGCACAGUUUAUACCGUAGCUUGCUACACCAUAGACUGUGAGUUGCGAACGGGUGAGUAACGCGUAGGUAACCUGCCUGGUAGCGGGGGAUAACUAUUGGAAACGAUAGCUAAUACCGCAUAAUAUUAAUUAUUGCAUGAUAAUUAAUUGAAAGGUGCAAUUGCACCACUACCAGAUGGACCUGCGUUGUAUUAGCUAGUAGGUGAGGUAACGGCUCACCUAGGCGACGAUACAUAGCCGACCUGAGAGGGUGAUCGGCCACACUGGGACUGAGACACGGCCCAGACUCCUACGGGAGGCAGCAGUAGGAAAUCUUCGGCAAUGGACGAAAGUCUGACCGAGCAACGCCGCGUGAGUGAAGAAGGUUUUCGGAUCGUAAAGCUCUGUUGUAAGAGAAGAACGGGUGUGAGAGUGGAAAGUUCACACUGUGACGGUAUCUUACCAGAAAGGGACGGCUAACUACGUG
rnacentral:rRNA from 1 species